rnacentral:lncRNA from 1 species
CUAUCAUGAGAAUCACCAGUGAUAUUCUGUAAAUGCCAGCCAAAAUCUAUCUGCAAGAACAUCUGCUCAACAGUGCAAAACUGAUGUAAUUACCAACCAUCAUCUUUUCUCCUCCUGCUGGGGUAACUGCUCCAAAGCAUGACUUUUUGCCCUGAGCUAACAAGAUCCAGAAACUCCCUGUUAUGUACAAAACCUGCUGCUGAAAA